rnacentral:tRNA from 1 species
CAUUAGAUGGCUGAAAACAAGCAAUGGUCUCUUAAACCAGUUUAUAGUAAAAUAGUGUAUACUUCUAAUGA